rnacentral:rRNA from 1 species
GAUGAACGCUAGCGGCAGGCCUAAUACAUGCAAGUCGAACGGUGUCUUCGGACAUAGUGGCGCACGGGUGCGUAACACGUAUGCAACCUACCUUACAUUGGGGGAUAGCCUUUCGAAAGGGAGAUUAAUACCGCAUAAGACAGUAGCUGGGCAUCCAGCAGCUGUUAAAGAUUUAUCGAUGUAAGCUGUGCAUGCGUCCAAUUAGCUAGUUGGUGAGGUAACGGCUCACCAAGGCAAUGAUUGGUAGGGGAACUGAGAGGUCAAUCCCCCACACUGGCACUGAGAUACGGGCCAGACUCCUACGGGAGGCAGCAGUAGGGAAUAUUGGGCAAUGGACGCAAGUCUGACCCAGCCAUGCCGCGUGCAGGAUGAAGGCGUUAUGCGUUGUAAACUGCUUUUAUACAGGAAGAAACGACUCUUGCGAGAGGCAUUGAGGGUACUGUAUGAAUAAGCACCGGCUAACUCCGUGCCAGCAGCAGCCGCCGUAA